GAUGAACGCUGGCGGCGUGCCUAAUACAUGCAAGUCGAGCGAACAGACGAGGAUCUUGCUCCUCUGACGUUAGCGGCGGACGGGUGAGUAACACGUGGAUACCCUACCUAUAAGACUGGGAUAACUUCGGGAAACCGGAGCUAAUACCGGAUAAUAUAUUGAACCGCAUGGUUCAUUAGUGAAAGACGGUUUUGCUGUCACUUAUAGAUGUAUCCGCGCCGCAUUAGCUAGUUGGUAAGGUAACGGCUUACCAAGGCAACGAUGCGUAGCCGACCUGAGAGGGUGAUCGGCCACACUGGAACUGAGACACGGUCCAGACUCCUACGGGAGGCAGCAGUAGGGAAUCUUCCGCAAUGGGCGAAAGCCUGACGGAGCAACGCCGCGUGAGUGAUGAAGGUCUUCGGAUCGUAAAACUCUGUUAUUAGGGAAGAACAAAUGUGUAAGUAACUAUGCACGUCUUGACGGUACCUAAUCAGAAAGCCACGGCUAACUACGUG
rnacentral:rRNA from 1 species